GUGAUCGCUUUGGGAGCACAUACACUAAAAUUGGAACAAUACAUAGGUUAGCAUGGCCCCUGCUCAAGGAUGACACGCAAAUUUGUGAAGUGUUCCAUAUUUUU
rfam:Tupaia chinensis contig25780, whole genome shotgun sequence.